UGAUUGUGAUUAGUAAACCUGUGAUCCAUCCCAGUGCAUACUUCUGUAUCGAUUAUUUCCACUUUGAAAAGUUUCCUGUUCGUGCUCUUUCUUUGCAGUUAAAGAGAAACAUGAGAGACACAUUCUAGUAUUAGAAUCUCUUUUCCUGAAGGACGGACUGCUCUUGAAUUGUCCAAAUUUGUCAUAAAACUAAUUCAUUAUUCUGAGGUUACCUUUCAUUCUGCAAAUCGUGCAAGACAACAUUAGCUCUGAUCUUAGCAAAACAGCAACUAACCACUUCCUUUUUUUAUCAGCAGCUCCUCGUCAGAAACAUAAAGUUGGGGGUGAAGAUGAGGCCUGUUUCACUCUCUCACUGUCGGCCAUGAUAUUACAACUGAACCAAACAGCGCUGCUCUUCAUUCAGCUGUUAGUGAUGCUGCGUGUCUUUGCAGUGAAGCUUGAAGAAAACAACAGAGUUAUGUUGGCAUUCAGAGGAGAUCCAGUGACGCUGACUUGUAACAUAUCUGAAAAAAAUGCAACACAAAUCUCCUGGACAAACGGCAGAUCUGUUUUUCAAUAUUCUAUCCAGCUGAAUCGCACUUUUUCAAAUUUUUCAUCUAACAGACUAAAAAUAAAUCCCGAGUUACCUACAAAUCUGAUUAUUUUUAGUGCUCAACCAGAGGAUGAAGGACUUUAUACAUGUAGCAUAACUGGCCUAGAUGGCCUACACACCAUUACAUGGAAUUUAACUGUGUCUGGGAACCCAGAAGAAUCGAUUUCAUCAAAGUAUUUUACAUUCAUACUUCCAUCUGCAAUUGGAUUCCUUCUGUGUGGCAUCACACUGGCUGUCUUCUUCUACAGAUGCUGCACCAGGACCCCGAACCAGGACCUUCAUGAUAUCAGGACCUUGAGUUUUGUCCAUUAUCAUGUUCAGCUGGGAGGAAAGGUGGUCCCUCCACAACCUCAGAGUUUUGCAGUGUACAGGACAGGCAGCACACUGAGAGACUCAGUCCAUGUGGCCAUCUUGGGAGAUGGCCACAGUGUCACAAUUCCCACCUUGAAGUGAAAGUGGAUGUCAAAGAAACACUGCUAGAGAUGUCUUUUCAGUGAUUAAAACAACAACAACAAAACUGUUUAUUCCCAAUUGCCAGUCUUGAUAGGUCCCAUCCACCAGGACGUCCCCUCCUGGCCACUGCCCGGCGCCUCCUGCGAGCGGUGGGUCUGCAGGAAGAUGAGCCCAAGCCCCUUUUUUUCGGGCUGUGCCCAGCCGGGCCCCACGGACUAAGGCCCGGUCACCAGACGCUAUUUAACUGUAGCCUGAGGCAGUUUCCUGUUUUGUUGUGUUUUUCCAAAUGAUAAUGUAAAAUAUGAAAAUUGCAAUAAACAUAUUAUACUUAUUAUACAUAUUAUAUACUAUAUUAUAUAACCAAACAGGACAGGCAAAAAAAAAAAAAAAAGAUUUGCCUGUACUCUGGAUUCUCUCUGUUUCCUGUCUUGUUUCAAGAUCAUUAUUGUUCAACCUAAAAAUAAAACUGCAUUUUUCUCCUUUCUAACCAA